rnacentral:rRNA from 1 species
AGCGAACGCUGGCGGCAGGCUUAACACAUGCAAGUCGAGCGGGCAUCCUUGUGGUGUCAGCGGCAGACGGGUGAGUAACGCGUGGGAACGUGCCCUUCGGUUCGGAAUAACUCAGGGAAACUUGAGCUAAUACCGGAUACGUGCGAGAGCAGAAAGGUUUAUCUGCCGAAGGAUCGGCCCGCGUCUGAUUAGCUAGUUGGUGAGGUUACGGCUCACCAAGGCGACGAUCAGUAGCUGGUCUGAGAGGAUGAUCAGCCACACUGGGACUGAGACACGGCCCAGACUCCUACGGGAGGCAGCAGUGGGGAAUAUUGGACAAUGGGGGCAACCCUGAUCCAGCCACGCCGCGUGAGUGAUGACGGCCUUAGGGUUGUAAAGCUCUUUUCUCCGGGACGAUAAUGACGGUACCGGAGGAAUAAGCCCCGGCUAACUUCGUG